rnacentral:precursor_RNA from 14 species
CACAGGAAUGCGGAACUGGCAGUGGCCCGGUUCAAGUAAUCCAGGAUAGGCUGUUCACAUUCUGCGUGGCCUAUUCUUGAUUACUUGCAUUGGGAGGCAGCUAUUCACGUCGGCGAGCUCC